rnacentral:rRNA from 1 species
GUGAAUAUGUUGGAUUCUCGCCAGAGAUAGUCUGGUUUCUGCUUCGCGGAUCGCCUGCCCGUGACACCUGUCACAGGUAGGUAUGCUUCUGCCGCGGGUCCGCAGGUAAAUCGUCUGUUUCACAAGGGACGGCGAUUUUACCUGUGGAAGAGGUCCGCUAACUAUAUUCUUAGUAUAGUUUGUUCACUAGAUCAAACAUUCUGAAUAAAAACUUAAACUAGUUAAAACUUUCAACAACGGAUCUCUUGGUUCUGGCAUCGAUGAAGAACGCAGCGAAAUGCGAUAAGUAAUGUGAAUUGCAGAAUUCAGUGAAUCAUCGAAUCUUUGAACGCACAUUGGGCCCAUUAGUAUUCUAGUGGGCAUGCCUGUUCGAGCGUCAUUUCAACCCUUAAGCCUCUGUUGCUUAGCGUUGGGAGCCUACAGCCUGCUGUAGCUCCUUAAAGGUAGUGGCGGAGUCGGUUCACACUCUAGACGUAGUAAAAUCUUUAUCUCGCCUAUAGAUGAGCCGGCGCCUUGCCGUAAAACCCCUAAUCUUUCACAAGGUUGACCUCGGAUCAGGUAGGAAUACCCGCUGAACUUAA